AACGAACGCUGGCGGCAUGCCUAACACAUGCAAGUCGAACGAAAGCUGCGGGUCUAGGGGCGCACGGGUGUGUAAGGCGUGGGAAAGUGCACUUAGGUUCGGAAUAACUCUUAGAAUGGGGUGGUAAUAACGGAAAAUGUCUGCGGCAUAAAGACUUAUCGCCAUUGGAUGGAAACGCUUAGGAUUAGCUAUUUGGUAGGGUAAAAGCCUACUAAGGCGACGGUCCAUAGCUGGUCUGAGAGGCUGGUCAGCCACUCUGGGACUGAGACACUACCCAGACACCUACGGGAGGCAUCAGUGGUGAAUAUUGGACCAUUGGCGAAAUCCUGAUCCAGCAAUGCCGCGUGACUGAUGAAGGCCUUAGGGUUGUAAAGCUCUUUUACCCGGUAUGAUAAUGACAGUACCCGGAGAAUAAGCUCCGGCUAACUCCGUG
rnacentral:rRNA from 1 species